UCUACAACUUGAGGAAUUAAAGCAGCAGAUUUCUACAUUAAAAUGUCAAAAUGAACAGCUCCAAACAGCAGUCACACAGCAAGCAUCUCAGAUUCAGCAGCAAAAGGAUCAGUAUAAUCUUCUUAAAGUACAGCUAGGAAAAGACAAUCAGCAUCAAGGUCCUUACAAUAAUGGGGCUCAGAUGAAUGGUAUUCAGCCAGAAGAAAUUAGUAGAUUACGAGAAGAGAUAGAAGAGUUAAAAAGUAAUCGAGAACUUUUACAAACCCAACUUGCUGAAAAAGACUCUUUGAUUGAAAAUUUGAAAUCUUCCCAAACUGCUUCUGACAUGAAUGAACAGUCUUCAACUAAAGAUUCUGAACAAAUUGCAGAAUUAAAACAGGAACUGGCAACUUUAAAGUC